rnacentral:rRNA from 1 species
GGGUUGUGAGGUUAAGCGACUAAGCGUACACGGUGGAUGCCCUGGCAGUCAGAGGCGAUGAAGGGCGUGCUAAUCUGCGAUAAGCGCCGGUAAGGUGAUAUGAACCGUUAUAACCGGCGAUACCCGAAUGGGGAAACCCAGUGUGACUCGUCACACUAUCAUUAACUGAAUCCAUAGGUUAAUGAGGCGAACCGGGGGAACUGAAACAUCUAAGUACCCCGAGGAAAAGAAAUCAACCGAGAUUCCCCCAGUAGCGGCGAGCGAACGGGGAGGAGCCCAGAGCCUGAAUCAGCAUGUGUGUUAGUGGAAGCGUCUGGAAAGGCGCGCGAUACAGGGUGACAGCCCCGUACACAAAAGCGCAUGUGCUGUGAGCUCGAUGAGUAGGGCGGGACACGUGGUAUCCUGUCUGAAUAUGGGGGGACCAUCCUCCAAGGCUAAAUACUCCUGACUGACCGAUAGUGAACCAGUACCGUGAGGGAAAGGCGAAAAGAACCCCGGCGAGGGGAGUGAAAAAGAACCUGAAACCGUGUACGUACAAGCAGUGGGAGCCUCACCACUAAGCCAGUGGUGAACUCCACAUACGCAUCCUUUGCUGAGGAUACGGUUAACGGAGCGCAAGCGACGUUCAACCGCAAAAGAAGCAGAGGGGGCUUAGUGGUGGGGUGACUGCGUACCUUUUGUAUAAUGGGUCAGCGACUUAUAUUCUGUAGCAAGGUUAACCGUAUAGGGGAGCCGCAGGGAAACCGAGUCUUAACCGGGCGUUAAGUUGCAGGGUAUAGACCCGAAACCCGGUGAUCUAGCCAUGGGCAGGUUGAAGGUUGGGUAACACUAACUGGAGGACCGAACCGACUAAUGUUGAAAAAUUAGCGGAUGACCUGUGGCUGGGGGUGAAAGGCCAAUCAAACCGGGAGAUAGCUGGUUCUCCCCGAAAGCUAUUUAGGUAGCGCCUCGUGAAUUCAUCUCCGGGGGUAGAGCACUGUUUCGGCUAGGGGGCCAUCCCGGCUUACCAACCCGAUGCAAACUGCGAAUACCGGAGAAUGUUAUCACGGGAGACACACGGCGGGUGCUAACGUCCGUCGUGAAGAGGGAAACAACCCAGACCGCCAGCUAAGGUCCCAAAGUCAUGGUUAAGUGGGAAACGAUGUGGGAAGGCCCAGACAGCCAGGAUGUUGGCUUAGAAGCAGCCAUCAUUUAAAGAAAGCGUAAUAGCUCACUGGUCGAGUCGGCCUGCGCGGAAGAUGUAACGGGGCUAAACCAUGCACCGAAGCUGCGGCAGCGAACGUAUCACUUAAAGCGAUUCAGCGGGUUACGAUUGACGGAGCGAAGCGACGUCAAAGCGUAUACAAAGUCGAGUCGGUUUAAGGAUACGUUCGUUGGGUAGGGGAGCGUUCUGUAAGCCUGUGAAGGUGGCCUGUGAGGGUUGCUGGAGGUAUCAGAAGUGCGAAUGCUGACAUAAGUAACGAUAAAGCGGGUGAAAAGCCCGCUCGCCGGAAGACCAA